UACGGGGGGAGCAAGCGUUGUUCGGAUUUACUGGGCGUAAAGGGCGCGUAGGCGGCCACCGCAAGUCGACUGUGAAAUCUCCGGGCUUAACCCGGAAAGGUCAGCCGAUACUGCGGGGCUAGAGUGCAGAAGGGGCAACUGGAAUUCUCGGUGUAGCGGUGAAAUGCGUAGAUAUCGAGAGGAACACCUGUGGCGAAAGCGGCGCACUGGACCACAACUGACGCUGAGGCGCGAAAGCUAGGGGAGCAAACAGG
rnacentral:rRNA from 1 species